rnacentral:rRNA from 1 species
UACGUAGGGUGCAAGCGUUAAUCGGAAUUACUGGGCGUAAAGCGUGCGCAGGCGGUGAUGUAAGACAGAUGUGAAAUCCCCGGGCUCAACCUGGGAACUGCAUUUGUGACUGUAGAGCUGGAGUGCGGCAGAGGGGGGAUGGAAUUCCGCGUGUAGCAGUGAAAUGCGUAGAUAUGCGGAGGAACACCGAUGGCGAAGGCAAUCCCCUGGGCCUGCACUGACGCUCAUGUACGAAAGCGUGGGGAGCAAACAGG